rnacentral:rRNA from 1 species
UAGAGUUUUGAUCCUGGCUCAGGAUGAACGCUGGCGGCGUGCCUAAUACAUGCAAGUCGAGCGAAUGGAUUGAGAGCUUGCUCUCAAGAAGUUAGCGGCGGACGGGUGAGUAACACGUGGGUAACCUGCCCAUAAGACUGGGAUAACUCCGGGAAACCGGGGCUAAUACCGGAUAACAUUUUGAACUGCAUGGUUCGAAAUUGAAAGGCGGCUUCGGCUGUCACUUAUGGAUGGACCCGCGUCGCAUUAGCUAGUUGGUGAGGUAACGGCUCACCAAGGCAACGAUGCGUAGCCGACCUGAGAGGGUGAUCGGCCACACUGGGACUGAGACACGGCCCAGACUCCUACGGGAGGCAGCAGUAGGGAAUCUUCCGCAAUGGACGAAAGUCUGACGGAGCAACGCCGCGUGAGUGAUGAAGGCUUUCGGGUCGUAAAACUCUGUUGUUAGGGAAGAACAAGUGCUAGUUAAUAAGCUGGCACCUGACGGACCUACCAAAAGCCCGGUAUC